GCUAUUUUUUAAUUUAUUUAUCAAAACAACAAGAAAUUGAGUAAGAAAUUGACGAAAACUAUAGCUCAAUCAAGAUAAAGAGGUACACUUCUUAAUUUAUGGAGCAUAGUGCACUGUCAUAUAAGGUAUUGAACCUUUUUUGCUAAUAUCCACGUAUAGAGAACAAAAAUGAAGAAACUAAGAAAAAGUUUGCUCCUUGUAAAGACUAAAGUGAAAAGUUAUACUCCCAUAUCUCAAUUUUUUUUACAUUUUCCUUUUUAGUGUCCCAAAAACAAUGUUACAUUUUUAUUAGAAAUAUUGAUUUUAAAAUUCUCAUUUUAUAAUUUAAUAAAAUUAUUUAUAAUUACACAAAUGUCCAAAUCUUAUUUUAGAUUACAACAAAUACUUGGGUUAGAUAGAAUAAUUCUUUGAACAUUAAUUAGACUAACUAAUUAACUCCAUACUACUAUAUAUACUUACUAGUACUCGAUCCGUCCCAUUUUAGAUUUAUAACUGAGCACGGAAUUUAAGAAAUCAAAUAAGACUUGUGACACGUAAAUAAAAUGUAUAUAUGCAAAGUAUCAUAUAUAUACCGACGUGGAAAUAUAUGUUAAGAGUUCAUAAUUGAGAAAAUUUUACGUACCAAGGCGAAAGCACCAGCAGCAACAGCACCAAAUUCACCGGCUUUCUUGAGAUGACUGUGGUGCUUGAUUUCUUUUUCAUAAUCAACUGGACCACCCUCUUCCUCCUCCUUCUUGUGGUGGAACAGAUGGUGAUGGUGUUUCUCUUCUUCCAUGGUGAUUAUUGUCUAAAUGUGAUGACUUUAUGAAAGAUGUCAA